rnacentral:rRNA from 1 species
GACGAACCGUGCGAACGUUGUUCGGAAUCACUGGGCUUAAAGGGCGCGUAGGCGGGUUCGUAAGUCUGUGGUGAAAGCCCCCAGCUUAACUGGGGAAGUGCCAUGGAUACUGCGAAUCUUGAGGAGGGUAGGGGCAUCUGGAACACUGGGUGGAGCGGUGAAAUGCGUUGAUAUCCAGUGGAACUCCGGUGGCGAAGGCGAGGUGCUGGACCCUUUCUGACGCUGAUGCGCGAAAGCCAGGGGAGCAAACGGGG